rnacentral:rRNA from 1 species
UCAAGUGAAGAAGCGCAUACGGUGGAUGCCUUGGCAGUCAGAGGCGAUGAAAGACGUGGUAGCCUGCGAUAAGCUUUGGGGAGUCGGCAAACAGACUGUGAUCCAGAGAUCUCUGAAUGGGGGAACCCACUCAGCAUAAGCUGAGUAUCUUGUACUGAAUACAUAGGUGCAAGAGGCGAACCAGGGGAACUGAAACAUCUAAGUACCCUGAGGAAAAGAAAUCAACCGAGAUUCCCUUAGUAGUGGCGAGCGAACGGGGACCAGCCCUUAAGUUGAUUUGAGAUUAGUGGAACGCUCUGGAAAGUGCGGCCAUAGUGGGUGAUAGCCCCGUACACGAAAAUCUCUUGUCAAUGAAAUCGAGUAGGACGGAGCACGAGAAACUUUGUCUGAAUAUGGGGGGACCAUCCUCCAAGGCUAAAUACUACUGACUGACCGAUAGUGAACCAGUACCGUGAGGGAAAGGCGAAAAGAACCCCGGAGAGGGGAGUGAAAUAGAACCUGAAACCGUAUGCGUACAAGCAGUGGGAGCCUACUUUGUUAGGUGACUGCGUACCUUUUGUAUAAUGGGUCAGCGACUUAUAUUCAGUGGCGAGCUUAACCGAAUAGGGGAGGCGUAGCGAAAGCGAGUCUUAAUAGGGCGUUUAGUCGCUGGGUAUAGACCCGAAACCGGGCGAUCUAUCCAUGGGCAGGUUGAAGGUUAGGUAACACUGACUGGAGGACCGAACCGACUACCGUUGAAAAGUUAGCGGAUGACCUGUGGAUCGGAGUGAAAGGCUAAUCAAGCUCGGAGAUAGCUGGUUCUCCUCGAAAGCUAUUUAGGUAGCGCCUCAUGUAUCACUCCAGGGGGUAGAGCACUGUUUCGGCUAGGGGGUCAUCCCGACUUACCAAACCGAUGCAAACUCCGAAUACCUGGAAGUGCCGAGCAUGGGAGACACACGGCGGGUGCUAACGUCCGUCGUGAAAAGGGAAACAACCCAGACCGUCAGCUAAGGUCCCAAAGUCAUGGUUAAGUGGGAAACGAUGUGGGAAGGCUUAGACAGCUAGGAGGUUGGCUUAGAAGCAGCCACCCUUUAAAGAAAGCGUAAUAGCUCACUAGUCGAGUCGGCCUGCGCGGAAGAUGUAACGGGGCUCAAACCAUGCACCGAAGCUACGGGUGUCAUCUUUGAUGACGCGGUAGAGGAGCGUUCUGUAAGCCUGUGAAGGUGAGUUGAGAAGCUUGCUGGAGGUAUCAGAAGUGCGAAUGCUGACAUGAGUAACGACAAUGCGAGUGAAAAACUCGCACGCCGAAAGACCAAGGUUUCCUGCGCAACGUUAAUCGACGCAGGGUUAGUCGGUCCCUAAGGCGAGGCUGAAAAGCGUAGUCGAUGGAAAACAGGUUAAUAUUCCUGUACUUCCAGUUAUUGCGAUGGAGGGACGGAGAAGGUUAGGCCAGCCUGGCGUUGGUUGUCCAGGUUUAAGGUGGUAGGCUGAAAUCUUAGGCAAAUCCGGGAUUUCAAAGCCGAGAGCUGAUGACGAGUUGCCUUCAGGCGACGAAGUGGUUGAUACCAUGCUUCCAAGAAAAGCUCCUAAGCUUCAGAUAACUGGGAACCGUACCCCAAACCGACACAGGUGGUUAGGUAGAGAAUACCAAGGCGCUUGAGAGAACUCGGGUGAAGGAACUAGGCAAAAUGGCACCGUAACUUCGGGAGAAGGUGCGCCGGCGAGGGUGAAGGACUUGCUCCGUAAGCCCAUGCCGGUCGAAGAUACCAGGCCGCUGCGACUGUUUAUUAAAAACACAGCACUCUGCAAACACGAAAGUGGACGUAUAGGGUGUGACGCCUGCCCGGUGCCGGAAGGUUAAUUGAUGGGGUUAGCGCAAGCGAAGCUCUUGAUCGAAGCCCCGGUAAACGGCGGCCGUAACUAUAACGGUCCUAAGGUAGCGAAAUUCCUUGUCGGGUAAGUUCCGACCUGCACGAAUGGCGUAACGAUGGCGGCGCUGUCUCCACCCGAGACUCAGUGAAAUUGAAAUCGCUGUGAAGAUGCAGUGUAUCCGCGGCUAGACGGAAAGACCCGUGAACCUUUACUAUAGCUUUGCACUGGACUUUGAAUUUGCUUGUGUAGGAUAGGUGGGAGGCUUUGAAGUGGGGACGCCAGUUCUCAUGGAGCCAUCCUUGAAAUACCACCCUGGCAACUUUGAGGUUCUAACUCAGGUCCGUUAUCCGGAUCGAGGACAGUGUAUGGUGGGUAGUUUGACUGGGGCGGUCUCCUCCCAAAGAGUAACGGAGGAGUACGAAGGUGCGCUCAGACCGGUCGGAAAUCGGUCGUAGAGUAUAAAGGCAAAAGCGCGCUUGACUGCGAGACAAACACGUCGAGCAGGUACGAAAGUAGGUCUUAGUGAUCCGGUGGUUCUGUAUGGAAGGGCCAUCGCUCAACGGAUAAAAGGUACUCCGGGGAUAACAGGCUGAUACCGCCCAAGAGUUCAUAUCGACGGCGGUGUUUGGCACCUCGAUGUCGGCUCAUCACAUCCUGGGGCUGAAGCCGGUCCCAAGGGUAUGGCUGUUCGCCAUUUAAAGUGGUACGCGAGCUGGGUUUAGAACGUCGUGAGACAGUUCGUCCCUAUCUGCCGUGGACGUUUGAGAUUUGAGAGGGCUGCUCCUAGUACGAGAGGACCGGAGUGGACGAACCUCU